rnacentral:rRNA from 1 species
UACGUAGGGUGCAAGCGUUGUCCGGAAUUAUUGGGCGUAAAGAGCUCGUAGGCGGUUCGUCGCGUCGGCUGUGAAAACCCGGAGCUCAACUCCGAGCUUGCAGUCGAUACGGGCAGGCUAGAGUUCGGCAGGGGAGACUGGAAUUCCUGGUGUAGCGGUGGAAUGCGCAGAUAUCAGGAGGAACACCGGUGGCGAAGGCGGGUCUCUGGGCCGUUACUGACGCUGAGGAGCGAAAAGCGUGGGGGAGCGAACAGG